rnacentral:rRNA from 1 species
UAUCAAUAAGCGGAGGAAAAGAAACCAACAGGGAUUGCCUUAGUAACGGCGAGUGAAGCGGCAACAGCUCAAAUUUGAAAGCUGGCCCCCCCGGGGGUCCGCGUUGUAAUUUGUAGAGGAUGAUUCGGCGAGGGCUCCCGCCUAAGUCCCCUGGAACGGGGCGUCAUAGAGGGUGAGAAUCCCGUAUGCGGUGGGCUGCCUUAGCCAUGUGAAUCUCCUUCGACGAGUCGAGUUGUUUGGGAAUGCAGCUCUAAAUGGGAGGUAAAUUUCUUCUAAAGCUAAAUACCGGCCAGAGACCGAUAGCGCACAAGUAGAGUGAUCGAAAGAUGAAAAGCACUUUGGAAAGAGAGUUAAAAAGUACGUGAAAUUGUUGAAAGGGAAGCGCUUGCAGCCAGACUUGCCCGCAGUUGCUCAGCCGGUCUCCUGACCGGCGCACUCUUCUGCGGCCAGGCCAGCAUCAGUUCGGGCGGUCGGAUAAAGGCCCCGGGAACGUAGCUCCUCUCGGGGAGUGUUAUAGCCCGGGGUGGAAUGCGGCCAGCCUGGACUGAGGAUCUCGCUUCGGCUAGGAUGCUGGCGUAAUGGCUGUAAGCGGCCCGUCUUGAAACACGGACCAAGGAGUCUAACAUCUAUGCGAGUGUUUGGGUGUCAAACCCAUGCGCGUAAUGAAAGUGAACGGAGGUGGGAACCCUCGCGGGUGCACCAUCGACCGAUCCUGAUGUCUUCGGAUGGAUUUGAGUAAGAGCAUAGCUGUUGGGACCCGAAAGAUGGUGAACUAUGCCUGAAUAGGGUGAAGCCAGAGGAAACUCUGGUGGAGGCUCGCAGCGGUUCUGACGUGCAAAUCGAUCGUCAAAUUUGGGUAUAGGGGCGAAAGACUAAUCGAACC